CUACGGGAUGCACCAGUGAGGAAUAUUGCACAAUGGAGGAAACUCUGAUGCAGCAACGCCGCGUGGAGGAUGACGCAUUUCGGUGUGUAAACUCCUUUUAUAUGUCAAGAAAAUGACGGUAGCAUAUGAAUAAGCACCGGCUAACUCCGUGCCAGCAGCCGCGGUAAUACGGAGGGUGCAAGCGUUACUCGGAAUCACUGGGCGUAAAGGACGCGUAGGCGGGAUAUCAAGUCAGGUGUGAAAUCCUACAGCUUAACUGUAGAACUGCACUUGAAACUGGUAACCUAGAGUAUGGGAGGGGGAGAUGGAAUUAGUGGUGUAGGGGUAAAAUCCGUAGAUAUCACUAGGAAUACCUAAAGCGAAGGCGAUCUCCUGGAACAUAACUGACGCUAAGGCGUGAAAGCGUGGGGAGCAAACAGGAUUAGAUACCCUAGUAGUC
rnacentral:rRNA from 1 species